AACUACAUUUCAAUGCAUGGUGUCCAAAAAAGGAAAAGAAGUUAGGGUUUUGGAUUGUCCUUCUUCGGAGGGCCUCGGCACUCCGAAGGAGGGUCAGAUGGAGCUCGAUCCGGCUGGCUCACAUAGAAGACCUACUUUUGCCUCCUCCUGGGAUGACAAUCGUGCAACAUCAAAGGUUGACUCCGUUCCUCCUUGUCCGAUGACUCAAGGUUCUGAUCAACCUAUGGCUGCUUCGGAGCUAGGCAACAAUUCUCAGGGAAGGAAAGCCCCUUCCCCUCUUCGACCGACAGUCGAAAGUCAAGGCAUAAGACAGCCUGCGACCUGUCGUUCUUGGUCGCAAGUUGUAUAGGGGCCAAGGUAGUUCAGAUGGGAAUCCUCUAGAGCUACUAAGGAAGACAUCGAAGCCCUUGAAGCAAGAUUUUCUAAGGUUGUCUCCUUCACCGCGGAGGAGAUCCGCCAUGGUUCUGAUCAAUGGAAAACAGCAAUAAUAGAGUAAAGAUGUUCUCCUUCAAUCCUUAUCAUUUGGAGCAGAUUUUACACUGUCAGUGUUGCUGCGUCUCAGGAUCUUUCACGCUGUAUAAGCUCAGCAGCUCUCUGACCGUCAUUUUGGUUGUCACCAUUCUUCCAUUUUGUUUAUAAAUUUUGUCAGCCCCUUUAUGUUGCUAUGUUACUCCAACGGUGUAUGCUGCUAUAUUGUUUUUAAGAACUCCUCCCUAAUAUUUGCUCUAGUGGCCUGUUUUGGUUUCUCCCAGUCAUGUACAAAGCCAUCUGAGCAUUUUGUAUUUAUUUCUGCUCUCUUAAUCUAAGUUGCACCUUACCUUACC